rnacentral:misc_RNA from 1 species
CGUAAACACUUGGCUCUGAUCCUCUAAAUUAGAGUUAGCUUGAACCACAGCAAUCGAAUAAUCACCAGACGCGUGCUGUUUCAAAUCCGUAUGCCACAUCAGCCCAUCACCACCACCACCACCUCCACCGUUACCACCUCCAUUUCCACCGUUAAAAUUAUCAUCACUAUCUCCACCGCCACCUCCAACAGCAGCGAAGGAUAACAUAAGAAAUGUGCGGCGACCUGAGGUGAAAUUAUGGCUGGAAUUCAUGGAAAGUGAAAGGGAAGCAACACGCGCCGCGUUAGUGUUGACGGCGUUAUUAGAAAUAGAAACGGAGGUACGUAAGGACGGAGAUGGUUGUAAAGCGAGUGCACCGCCAUAUCGUGUCGUCACCGGAUGGAAGUUGACGGCAGCGGCAGCGGCGGCGAAUUGCAUAUUUGCUUGCCCUUCUUCUCACUGUUAGUUUAACAGUUAUAUAUAUAUAUGUUUUGUUGGAACAGAGGAAAAAGCUGUUUGAAUGAAG